CGCGUAGGCGGCCUUAUAAGUCUCGUGUGAAAGCCCUCGGCUUAACUGAGGAUCUGCACGGGAUACUGUAAGGCUUGAGUUCGGGAGAGGAAAGCGGAAUUCCGGGUGUAGCGGUGAAAUGCGUAGAUAUCCGGAGGAACACCAGUGGCGAAGGCGGCUUUCUGGACCGACACUGACGCUGAGGCGCGAAAGCUAGGGGAGCAAACGGGAUUAGAUACCCCGGUAGUCCUAGCUGUAAACGAUGAUCGCUGGGUGUGGGGGGUUUUUACUCCCUCCGUGCCGAAGCUAACGCAUUAAGCGAUCCGCCUGGGGAGUACGGUCGCAAGGCUGAA
rnacentral:rRNA from 1 species